CGUAAACUGCACUUAGCAUGUCCAAAGCUUCAAAUAAUGAAUGUUUUAGAACCCAGACAACCUUUUCCCAACCAAUAUUAUUAAUAAACAAAAAAGUAAACCCUUAUAUUAACAGAAAAUGCAAUGCUUGUGCCUGACUUUCAAUUUACAGCGAAUGUGUUGCCAAAUAGAGAAAGGAAAAUUAAUAAGUCAAGGGACGUCGUCUUUUAGACGCCCGGGGAACUGAUUGUCGAUUUAUCCAAUCCCGUUUACGCUGUGACAGUUUCUUUUCAUAGUUCGGCGCUAGUAAAGGGUCAUUUGUUUCUUUAAGAACGCUCACUUUAAAAUCACCUUUACGAAAUGAACGAGUACGUUUUUUAGGAAUUUCGUUAUUAGGAAAAACAAUUUUAUGUCCUUUUGGAGUAUAUAGGUCAAGGCUUGCUUCGUCAACCUUUUCUUCGAUUUCCGUGGUACUAUUAAUUUCUUCAACUUCAGCUGCCUCAAGAAUAGCCAAAUCCAACUUUGAUGCGCUUACCCGUUGGGCAUUUCUUUCACGAUUUCUUUCAUUUUGCAGUCUACGUUUUUCUCUUUCAGCUUUUCGAAGCCUAAAAUGUGUUAAAAAUAAUACUAUCAAAAGCAAGGAAACGAAAUGAGCAGUCGAACUUUUAUCAAACAAAUUAUUAUUCUGUCUCAAACCAAAACAAAUAGUAUUUUUAAGUGUUUCCCUCAUUCCGUUUAUUAAAACUUACUGUAAUUCAUUCCCUUUCAGACGUUGAAGUCUCUUUUUUACCUCAUCGCUGCUGCUCUUCAGCGAAACUUCUUCAGGUGCUUCAUCAGAAUCACUGUCAGAUGAUUGAUUUUGAGAGUAGUGUGAGGCUUCAUUAUCUUCAAUUUCCGCUUUCAACAAAUCAUUUGGUUUGUUUAAAUUUGAAAAUGAAGGACCUUUGCUUGGGGCAGUCAAUCUUGCCAUUCUAGUAUUUGACAAAUUUUCAAUUUUCGAAUAAGUAAUGCAACAAAAUGUCUUUAUCAGAAGUUUAUACCUUAACAGACAAGUUUUGGAUUUUAAUACUAUAAAACGAAGACUAUUAAAGGAUUUGAAACUUUUUUGACCUGAAUUGGUGUAGGAGGAGGAUAACUGGCAAUGCGAGUGAAACUUCUUAAUGCCACCAAAAUGGCAGUGAACAAAAUGGAUAGGAUAGGUACUUUCCUGAGUCUUACAAAAUUUAUCAAUAAAUAAUUUAUUUAAAGUAAGAUACGUUGCAAUUAUAGCACUAGAUUUUAACCCUUUAAUGCUGGUAAAUAAGAAGAAGAAA